UGCAGUGUCUGUCUCAGCUUUGUAUCGGAAUUCUGUUAAAAUCUAUGUCUCAGUCUCUGUAUUCAAAAUCUGUUAGAAUAAUUACCUCAUUUUAUUCAAUUGUAUAUCAAUCUAAAAACAGUGCGCGAUACGCGUUAAUAGUAUUAUUUUUGUAAUCAUAAUCAUAAUCAUUAAAUUGUAGUGCGUUGAUUUUGUAGGAAAGGAAACGUUUAAAGAAUUAUAUUCUUUUUUUUUUGUAGUGAAUGCAGAAGGAGUGAUAGUUGUUUUGAUUAAUUAAAUAUAAUUAUUGUGUGGUGAUUUAAACGAAUAGCUUCAUCCCUAACAAAUAUUUUUACUUGAGUCUCUACUUCAAUACCAAUCGAUUAGGGAAAGGAGCUUAUUGAUGCAAAGAAAAAUUCUCCAGAAAAGAUAACGGUAACACUUAAUAAUAGAUAUACAUGAACGAUCACACUGGAACUAUCAAUCCGUGCAUCUUCCUAUAGUUAUGUUCCGAGAAUCAUUCUUGUGUCUUAAUUAAUUAAUCUUACUCCCGCAUAAAGUUUUGCGAAAAGAAGCAAAUGAUUGGAUUGUAAACGCAUCAAAUAGAGGAUUCUUUAUUGUUGCGGAAUACAAUCCGCGAUUUCACAUAAAAUAGUGACUAUAUUGUAGUAAACGCAUCAAACAAGUAUUUUAUUGUCGCAUAAUAAAAUUUAUAACAUCGUAUAAAAAAAUGUUUAAAUAAAUGAAUAAUAAUAUAAAUUUCUAUUUCAUAAUAAUCUUUAAUAUAAUAUUUUGUAAGAUAAAUUGAAUUACUCUUAAAUAUAUGUCAGAAUAUAACACGGCGAAAAAUGAGCGAACGAAACGAUUUAUAUAAAUGCUAAAAGGAGGAAGAAAACAAUACUUAGAAAUAAACAGGCCGUAUAUAACUUAUUAUAAAACAUAAAAUGAUACAUAUAUAUUAUAAUAAUACAUAUAUAUUAUACAUAUAUAUAAUAUUAUACAUAUAUCUACAAUAUUCGUAUAGUGUUACAACAAUUAUAUUAAAAAAUCACAGUAUACAAUUUUAUAAACGAAUAACAAGCAAAGAGGGUAUUUUCGAAGAAGGAAAGAGAAAGAGAGAGAAAAGAGAGAAAAAAGAAAGAGACAGAAAGAGAAGAAAGAAAGAGAAGAGAAAGAAAAAAGAAAGAGAAGAGAGAGAAAGAAAGAAAAAGAAGAGAAAGAGAAAAGAAAGAGAAAAGAGAGAAAGAGAGAAAGAGAAGAGAAGGAGAGAGAGAGAGAGAGAGAGAGAGAGAGAGAAGAGAGAGAGGGAGAGAGAGGGAGAGAAGAAAGAGAAAGAGAAAAUGAUGAUCGAAUAUGGAAACACUAUAUAAUUCAAAUACAAAAAAAUCGAGCAUAAAUAUUUAAGCCUAGACUACGAAUCAGAAGAGUACACAAACAAAACAAUUAAAUCUUCCAGAAAUCAAUAUUACCUCAAGUUUUAGAAAGAUGUUUACGAAAGUAGAGAGUAUCAUAACAUUACUGUGAAGUCUAUGAAUAGAUAUUUUCAUUAAGGAAAGAGAAUAUAGAUUGACUUAACCCCAGGACAUGCGCUGAAGGACACACAUCCAUAUGAUAGGCAAACAGUACGAGCGAUAAAACAUUCAUUGUUUCUUUUAAUUAUUUAUGCAG